UAUAUUUUUUUAAAAGAAUAUAUUUAAAUUUUAAGUGCUCAUUUGGCCAUGAGUGUCUUUCUUUUUUCAGAAUUUUUUUUUCCCUUUAUUUUAGGUACAACUCCAAGUUGGUGUUUGGGUGAGAUUUCAAAUAUAACUUGGAGAUAUAGUUGAAAAAGUGAAAAUAAGUAUUUUUCUAAGGAAUCACAAUAUCUCACCAAAUAACUGGUCCACACAAAGAACAAAUCAACCACUCUAUUGCACAAAAAAUCCUCUCUCUAAAAUGUUCUCUCCUCGACAAUUUCAGUUAGCUUUCAUCAAUCAUCUUGGUUUUAGCCGUUAUGGCUUUGCUGUCGCCGGCGGAGCCUCUCCGGUCAUCGGACAUUUACCCCCAGGGGCGUCAUGCUUGUAUACGCUCCCCUCAUAAGGCUUCACCCAUACAUUUACCAUAUAUUUCUCCGCAUUUGCAAAACAAUAGCGAGUUAGGGAAUCGAAUUUCUGAGGAACAGUUGCAUUGGGCUUAUGCUAUCAUUUUUCAAGCUCAAUCGGGCAUUUUGAUAAAGGUGUCGGAUAUGAUGACUCUGUCGGCUUCCACAACCCAAUCAGUUGCUCUUCCAAGCAAUCCUAAUACAGGGGAGUCAAUUGUUGCAGCCAAUUCUAGUAGGUUCGAGGGCCUUUUUAUUGCUCUUGUGCAGCGUUAGGAGGUUGAACACGUCUGUUUAGUUGUUGUGAAGAGAUAUGUAUACAAGAAAGCUAAUUCUGUAGCUGAUUCACUGUCUAAGAUCAACCACAAGUCUAAGUUUCCCCUACACUAUUUCCACUGCAGUCAACUUCCACCAAAAGUAACAGGCUACUUUAGGCUGGACAAAAUGGGCAUACCAAGCUUUAGAAGAAAGAAACUACAAAGACCUAAAGAACCUCCUUACAGCUGAUGAUUUCAUUGGUGUUGAUGUCUUGGUGAUACAGAGUCUGGAGUAUCAGUAUGCCUGGAGCAUCAGUAUGCUUGGUGACUGGAAUUUUAAUUUCUAUUUCAUAGUUUUCUUAUUAGUUCUUCAGUUACAUGUACUCUUUUGUUACAUACUCAUGUACUAAUUGCUGAAGACCAGGUUUGUGCCCCCCUUUAUGUACAGAUUCUUCUUCUGAUUAAUGAUAAGGCCGGGGGGUGAUGCUCAGCCCCCUAAAAUUCUUUAUAAAAAAGUAUUUUUUUCACAAAGUCAAACUUGUUUUCACGUUUUUCAUAAAAUUUCAAAAACAACUCCAAGCUAUAUUCAUGUCCAAACACAACUCCGACUCCAAAUUCAAAUCCAAAAACAUAUGGGAAAAUGGCUACUAAGUGGCCGUUUGGAAAUGAGACAGGAAGUUAUGAUAUGAAAUCAUGAUCUAAAAUUAUGAGAUGAAGUUGAAGUCUUGUUUGGACAUGGAACUUAGACUUUUUAUGUAUGUUUUCUUAUGAACAUAAAAGUCUCAUGAGUUGUGAAAACUAUCAAAAUUGACCCAAUUCUUUAUACAAUCAUUACAAAAUAAGGAAAAGUUUAUAACAAAGUAUAAUGCACUGUCACAAAGCUACAAUAAAAAAUACAUUAUUAAUUGACUAAAUUUUAGUUCAAUGAAAAAAUUAAGUUGAAUAUGAGUUGUAGUGUACUACUCUACUAUAAUCCUUCCAUAUAAUACGGAGUAUCUCCUCACGUUGAGCGUGUAUUUCUUGAUUAAAUAACUAAGAAGACUGAUCAACAUUAUUACUUGGAGUC